UUUGGUGGCGAUGGCGGAGGGGUUCCACGCGUACCCAUCCCGAACACGACCGUUAAGCCCUCCAGCGCCGAUGGUACUUGGACCGAAGGGUCCUGGGAGAGUAGGAAGCCGCCAAGC
rnacentral:rRNA from 1 species